AAUCACUAAUGACCUCAUCUUCAAAUGGUCAGUGAUAAUAAACAAGAAGGAGGGAUUUCCAAGGGAGCAGAGCAUUAAUAAGCUACUUGUGCAAGAAGCUACAAUGAGAAAAAAAUAGCAAGAAAUAGAUGAGGGAAGGAGGUGCUGUAGAGAGAAAAGCAGAGAAUGGAUUGUGCUGAGAUAGAGAUGCUCAGAUGAAGAAGCUGGCCCUAGCACCCAUAAAGCUGGAAAGAAAGUAGGGCCUCGGAAAGUUCUGGAAGGAAAAAGGCGAGGAAAGAAAAAGGCAAGGAAGUGGGAUGGAGAGGAGGCAGAUAAACCAAGAAGGACUUUGGAAGCAUGUAAAUUACAAGGGAAUGAGGAAGAGCCUUUACUGAAACAGUCUGUGAAGUUUGUGCUAGCGCUGAGAGCUUCAUUUUAGCGUACUGGCAAGGAGGUGUGGCCCCUCUCCAGGGCCUGGCACCUCAUUGCUAUGGUAACGGAAGACACGCUGAUCAUCCGGAUUUUGCCUCCGAGACUUGGGCUGUACAAGCUGCUUUCCUGGAGUAGCUUGUCCUUUUGCAGUUAACCUAGAUGUCUGGGGAGAAGAGCUUCUCCCAACAGGAUGGCAGGCAAUGCUUCCAGAUGCGGUCACUUGGCACGUCUGAGCCGAAUGUCUCCAUAAAAAUAUGAUGUAAUUAACAGAGCCGCAGCAGCUGGAACAAUUCAGUACCUCACAUUGAUUUUCCAUGUCUCCUGUUUACUUUCAGAUCUGCAGUGACAGAAAAUCAAAGAAUUAUAAUGGUGUGCGUGAGGGCCCGAUGCUGGGUCGGCAUUUCCUUGAGAAAUCCUAAGAUUAAUCAGUUUCCUAUCACUCAAUCAUCUCUUUUCAAUUCUAAAGGAAAACUGUCCUCCAAAAUGCUAUGAAAUAGCAGUCUAUUUUUGGAUAUUAAAAAAAUCAAUUGUACUAUUUUAAAAUUUGAGGGGAGUGUUUUAAAAGUCAGCCCGAAGCAAUGUUCACUUGUCUGUUUUCUCCUUCAAGUUUAAUAGGAGUUGGCAACGAUAUUUGGGUACAGUGAGACAUAAGUACUGUAUUCACCCCUCCCAAAUUUUGUGGGCUUGGAAAGUUACUUGGUGGAACCAAAGACAGGAACUGCGUUCCAAGUUUUUUCAGUCACUGAAAUGAAGGAAAGUAAGUUUCCCCAGAUGUAGUUAUUCAUGAGCCUUCAUCUGAAGCAGGGUUGGUUUAAUCAUAGUUGUUCAUUGGAUUUCUAGCUCUGUCAGGUGAAAGUCAGAAUCGGGUUAAUUUCACUUUGGGUUUCUUAAAAUGCUGGAGGAAAUAAGCAGAAGGCUGCGGUUAUAGUGGGGAAACAGGCCUCUGUCUGAAGUCAGCUUGCUCCUGACUGCCUUGGAAGGCGUAUUAAGUGGUCUUGCUUUUUUACCACACUCCAUUGUCUUGGUAGAUUCUGUGUCUUGGCCGUACUGCAAGAACUCAUUUUUCUUUGACUUUUUAUUCAUUCAAGCAACAUAACCAUUUCAUAAAUGAUUAGGAAAAUAGAGAAAAGAAGAAAAUUGCCCAUAAUUUUACCUCUCAAACACAAUAGGUAUGAUGGUUUUGGAGCAAUUAUUUUGGGUCAUUUUCAAAUGCUGAGUUUUGAUAUGAUUCUAAACAUAAUGUACAAACAACUUUAUGUAUUGCUUUUUCUCUUAAUAUAUGUCAGAAGCAUUUCCGCAUGUUAUGAUUAGUUUCAGUAAAUAGCUUUUUAACUGCUGCCCAAGCAGUUGGAACAAUUCAGUCCCUCGUAUUGCGUUUCCAUGUGACCUAUGGAAGUAGAGACACCGUAUUAACUAUUUCUGUAUUUUGAGACAAUGGAUCAAAUACAUUUUUCACUGUAAUUAAUCCCAUGGUAAGUAGCUUUAUACAUAAACCUUUUCUAUAUAUAAGAUAAUUUCUUUAGGAUAAACCCCUAGAAAUUACAGGAUGAAAGUGCAUAAAUAUUUUAUGACUCUUGAUAUUUCUUGUUGAUCUUCAAAACUAUUACAUGAUUUUAUAUUAUCACCUAAAAUGUUUGCGGAAUCGUGCUUUAUGAGGGUAUUUUAUUGACUAAAUUUGCAGUACUGAGAGAGCUUUAUGUGUGCAGUUUGAUGAUGCUGACAGAUAUCCCGGAGGUGAACAUUUUUUAAAGAUGUUCUCUUUAUGUUUAACAUACAGAAGUUAAUGUUAAUCACGAUGCCUAUUUUGUUUAACAUACAGAAGUGACUUUAUUAAAGCCAUUUCUUCUAAAUGUGCAAUAAACUAUGAAUUCUUUGCCUGGU